rnacentral:rRNA from 1 species
UACAGAGGGUGCGAGCGUUAAUCGGAAUCACUGGGCGUAAAGCGCACGUAGGCGGAUCUUUAAGUCAGGGGUGAAAUCCCAGAGCUCAACUCUGGAACUGCCUUUGAUACUGGGGAUCUCGAGUUCGGGAGAGGUGAGUGGAACUGCGAGUGUAGAGGUGAAAUUCGUAGAUAUUCGCAAGAACACCAGUGGCGAAGGCGGCUCACUGGCCCGAUACUGACGCUGAGGCGCGAAAGCGUGGGGAGCAAACAGG